AGUUAACGCGAGGAGGCAGACAUGGGACUUACGCAAUCCUUGAAUGUCCUGUUGGUCAGUGCAGCGUUCGCAUUCGUCUUGACCAUGCUCUUCAUUUGAGCCAGGCGAAGCGUAAAGACUGAAAUACCGAACUCCUGAAACAAUCAGCCCCAGCUAUUGAAAAGCGCAUGCCCAGCCGGACAUGCGCUUU
rnacentral:sRNA from 1 species